CAGCAGCCGCGGUAAUACGUAGGGUGCAAGCGUUAAUCGGAAUUACUGGGCGUAAAGCGUGCGCAGGCGGUUAUAUAAGUCAGAUGUGAAAUCCCCGGGCUCAACCUGGGAACUGCGUUUGAGACUGUAUGGCUAGAGUGUGUCAGAGGGGGGUAGAAUUCCACGUGUAGCAGUGAAAUGCGUAGAGAUGUGGAGGUAUACCGAUGGCGAAGGCAGCCCCCUGGGCCAAUACUGACGCUCAUGCACGAAAGCGUGGGGAGCAAACAGGAUUAGAUACCCGAGUAGUCCCUGUCUCUUAUAC
rnacentral:rRNA from 1 species